CUGCGGAAGGAUCAUUACAGUGGUGAUCGCCCCUUCGGGGUGCGGCCGCCCGAGAUAGAACCCUUUGCCNUUUAGAGUNCCAUUCGUUUCCUCGGCAGGCUCGCCUGUCAAUGGGGACACCAACCAAACCUUUUGAUAAAGCAGUAAACGUCUAUAUACCAAUAUAUCAAAACUUUCAACAACGGAUCUCUUGGUUCUGGCAUCGAUGAAGAACGCAGCGAAAUGCGAUAAGUAGUGUGAAUUGCAGAUUUCAGUGAAUCAUCGAAUUUUUGAACGCACAUUGCGCCCUUUGGCAUUCCUUAGGGCAUGCCUGUUCGAGCGUCAUCUAAACCCUCAAGCAUAGCUUGGUGUUGGGCGUUUGUCGCGCCUCGGGCGCGGACUCGCCUCAAAAGCAUUGGCGGCCUGUGUGAACGGCUUCGAGCGCAGCAGAUGCGAGCCUCGAUACCCACGCGCCGGCGUCCAGCAAGCCAACCCAUCAUUUUGACCUCGGAUCAGGUAGGGAUACCCGCUGAACUUAAGCAUAUCAAUAAGCGGAGGA
rnacentral:rRNA from 1 species